rnacentral:snoRNA from 1 species
AACGCCUUCCUGAUGAAACAUUUCGGAUGUUAAAACAUAAAUUUGCUGAAUUGCGCAAACAAACCCCGUGUUGAUACUUUCCGUUGCCUUCCUUCUGAUCUGGCGA